rnacentral:rRNA from 1 species
AGAGUUUGAUCCUGGCUCAGGAUGAACGCUGGCGGCGUGCUUAACACAUGCAAGUCGAACGAACCUUCGGGUUAGUGGCGGACGGGUGAGUAACGCGUGAGAAUCUGCCCUCAGGAGGGGGAUAACGGCUGGAAACGGCCGCUAAUACCCCAUAUGCCGCGAGGUGAAAUGAAUUUCGCCUGAGGAUGAGCUCGCGUCUGAUUAGCUAGUUGGUGGGGUAAAGGCCUACCAAGGCAUCGAUCAGUAGCUGGUCUGAGAGGAUGAUCAGCCACACUGGGACUGAGACACGGCCCAGACUCCUACGGGAGGCAGCAGUGGGGAAUUUUCCGCAAUGGGCGAAAGCCUGACGGAGCAACGCCGCGUGAGGGAUGAAGGCCUCUGGGCUGUAAACCUCUUUUAUCAAGGAAGAAGAUCUGACGGUACUUGAUGAAUAAGCCACGGCUAAUUCCGUGCCAGCAGCCGCGGUAAUACGGGAGUGGCAAGCGUUAUCCGGAAUUAUUGGGCGUAAAGCGUCCGCAGGCGGCCCUUCAAGUCUGCUGUUAAAAAGUGGAGCUUAACUCCAUCAUGGCAGUGGAAACUGUUGGGCUUGAGUGUGGUAGGGGCAGAGGGAAUUCCCGGUGUAGCGGUGAAAUGCGUAGAUAUCGGGAAGAACACCAGUGGCGAAGGCGCUCUGCUGGGCCAUCACUGACGCUCAUGGACGAAAGCCAGGGGAGCGAAAGGGAUUAGAUACCCCUGUAGUCCUGGCCGUAAACGAUGAACACUAGGUGUCGGGGGAAUCGACCCCCUCGGUGUCGUAGCCAACGCGUUAAGUGUUCCGCCUGGGGAGUACGCACGCAAGUGUGAAACUCAAAGGAAUUGACGGGGGCCCGCACAAGCGGUGGAGUAUGUGGUUUAAUUCGAUGCAACGCGAAGAACCUUACCAGGGUUUGACAUCCUGCGAAUCUCUUGGAAACGAGAGAGUGCCUUCGGGAGCGCAGUGACAGGUGGUGCAUGGCUGUCGUCAGCUCGUGUCGUGAGAUGUUGGGUUAAGUCCCGCAACGAGCGCAACCCACGUCUUUAGUUGCCAGCAUUCAGUUGGGCACUCUAGAGAGACCGCCGGUGAUAAACCGGAGGAAGGUGUGGAUGACGUCAAGUCAUCAUGCCCCUUACACCCUGGGCUACACACGUACUACAAUGCUACGGACAAAGGGCAGCAAGUUCGCGAGGACAAGCAAAUCCCAUAAACCGUGGCUCAGUUCAGAUCGUAGGCUGCAACUCGCCUACGUGAAGGAGGAAUCGCUAGUAAUCGCAGGUCAGCAUACUGCGGUGAAUACGUUCCCGGGCCUUGUACACACCGCCCGUCACACCAUGGAAGUUGGCCACGCCCGAAGCCGUUACUCCAACCCUUGUGGAGGAGGACGUCGAAGGUGGGGCUGAUGACUGGGGUGAAGUCGUAACAAGGUAACC